rnacentral:rRNA from 1 species
UACGGGGGGGGCAAGCGUUGUUCGGAAUUACUGGGCGUAAAGGGCUCGUAGGUGGCCAACUAAGUCAGACGUGAAAUCCCUCAGCUUAACUGGGGAACUGCGUCUGAUACUGGAUGGCUUGAGUUUGGGAGAGGGAUGCGGAAUUCCAGGUGUAGCGGUGAAAUGCGUAGAUAUCUGGAGGAACACCGGUGGCGAAGGCGACAUCCUGGACCGGUAUUGACGCUGAGGCGCGAAAGCCAGGGGAGCAAACGGG